CAGCGCCGCGGUAAUACGUAGGGUGCAAGCGUUAAUCGGAAUUACUGGGCGUAAAGCGUGCGCAGGCGGUUCUAUAAGACAGAUGUGAAAUCCCCGGGCUCAACCUGGGAACUGCAUUUGUGACUGUAGAGCUGGAGUGCGGCAGAGGGGGAUGGAAUUCCGCGUGUAGCAGUGAAAUGCGUAGAUAUGCGGAGGAACACCGAUGGCGAAGGCAAUCCCCUGGGCCUGCACUGACGCUCAUGCACGAAAGCGUGGGGAGCAAAUGGGAUUAGAUACCCCCGUAGUCCCUGUCUCUUAUACA
rnacentral:rRNA from 1 species